CCUACGGGAGGCAGCAGUGGGGAAUCUUGCGCAAUGGGGGAAACCCUGACGGAGCAACGCCGCGUGAGCGAUGAAGGCCUUCGGGUCGUAAAGCUCUGUUGUCAGGGAAGAACAAGUAUCGGAGUAACUGCCGGUACCUUGACGGUACCUGACCAGAAAGCCACGGCUAACUACGUGCCAGCAGCCGCGGUAAUACGUAGGUGGCAAGCGUUGUCCGGAAUUAUUGGGCGUAAAGCGCGCGCAGGCGGUUCCUUAAGUCUGAUGUGAAAGCCCCCGGCUCAACCGGGGAGGGUCAUUGGAAACUGGGAAACUUGAGUGCAGAAGAGGAAAGUGGAAUUCCAAGUGUAGCGGUGAAAUGCGUAGAGAUUUGGAGGAACACCAGUGGCGAAGGCGACUUUCUGGUCUGUAACUGACACUGAGGCGCGAAAGCGUGGGGAGCAAACAGGAUUAGAUACCCUGGUAGUCCACGCCGUAAACGAUGAGUGCUAAGUGUUAGAGGGUUUCCGCCCUUUAGUGCUGCAGCUAACGCAUUAAGCACUCCGCCUGGGGGAGUACGGCCGCAAGGCUGAAACUCAAAGGAAUUGACGG
rnacentral:rRNA from 1 species